rnacentral:rRNA from 1 species
UACGUAGGUGGCAAGCGUUUGUCCGGAAUUACUGGGCGUAAAGCGCGCGUAGGCGGCUUUGUAAGUUAGAGGUGAAAGCCCGGAGCUCAACUCCGGAACUGCCUUUAAAACUGCAUCGCUUGAAUCCAGGAGAGGUGAGUGGAAUUCCGAGUGUAGAGGUGAAAUUCGUAGAUAUUCGGAAGAACACCAGUGGCGAAGGCGGCUCACUGGACUGGUAUUGACGCUGAGGUGCGAAAGCGUGGGGAGCAAACAGG